UGGGGAAUUUUGGACAAUGGGCGAAAGCCUGAUCCAGCCAUGCCGCGUGAGUGAAGAAGGCCUUCGGGUUGUAAAGCUCUUUUAGCCGGAAAGAAAGAGUUGCAAUGAAUAAUUGUGAUUUAUGACGGUACCGACAGAAAAAGCACCGGCUAACUACGUGCCAGCAGCCGCGGUAAUACGUAGGGUGGGAGCGUUAAUCGGAAUUACUGGGCGUAAAGGGUGCGCAGGCGGUCUUGCAAGUCAGAUGUGAAAGCCCCGGGCUUAACCUGGGAAUUGCGUUUGAAACUACAAGGCUAGAGUGCAGCAGAGGGGAGUGGAAUUCCAUGUGUAGCAGUGAAAUGCGUAGAGAUGUGGAAGAACACCGAUGGCGAAGGCAGCUCCCUGGGUUGACACUGACGCUCAUGCACGAAAGCGUGGGGAGCAAACA
rnacentral:rRNA from 1 species